UCUUCAGUGAUGAUUGGUUCGGUGAAUUUCGUUCUUCUGAUUCUACUGAAGCCAUCCUUCAUGUCCUGAGAAUA